rnacentral:rRNA from 1 species
GUGAAAAGGACCCCGGGAGGGGAGUGAAAGAGAACCUGAAACCCUGUGUUUACAAGCUGUGGAAGUUCUUUAAAUGAACAACCGCGUACUUUUUGUAGAACGGUCCGGCGAGUUGCGGAUACUGGCAAGGUUAAGCACUUAAGGUGCGGAGCCGAAGGGAUACCAAGUCUUAACAGGGCGUAAAGUCAGUAUACGCAGACCCGAAACCGGGUGAUCUAUCCAUGUCCAGGUUGAAGUUGUCGUAAAAGACAAUGGAGGACCGAAGCCACAUCCGUUGAAAAGGGUGGGCAUGAGGUGUGGAUAGGGGAGAAAUUCCAAUCGAACCCGGAGAUAGCUGGUUCUCCUCGAAAUAGCUUUAGGGCUAGCCUCGAUUUAGUCUUAUGGAGGUAGAGCACUGAAUUUCCGCGGGGGCGUCAAAGCUUACCAAAGAAUAUCAAACUCCGAAUGCCAUGUAGAUGAUGAUCGGGAGUCAGACUGCACGAGAUAAGUUGGGCAGUCAAAAGGGAAAGAGCCCAGACCACCGGCUAAGGUCCCAAAGUGCGUGUUAAGUGGAAAAGGAUGUGGGAAUUCGAAGACAACUAGGAUGUUGGCUCAGAAGCAGCCAUACAUUCAAAGAGUGCGUAACAGCUCACUAGUCGAGAGUUCCUGCGCCGAAAAUGUCCGGGGCUGAAACACGACACCGAAGCCGUGGACUCGCAAUGCGAGUGGUAGAGGAGCAUUCUUAAAACCGACGAAGCUGUACCGGAAGGAGCAGUGGAGGGAUAAGAAGAGAGAAUGCCGGAAUGAGUAGCGAGAGAAAGGUGGGAAUCCUUUCGGCCGAAUAUCUAAGGUUUCCAGAGUAAAGCUGAUCUGCUCUGGGUAAGUCGGGGCCUAAGCACAGGUCGCAAGACGUAAGCGAUGGAUAACAGGUUUAGAUUCCUGUACCACGCAUUAUCAGAACUGUAGGGACGCAUGUGGAAAGCACGAGCCGGGAAUGGAAAGACCGGUACAAGCGGGGUAGGUGUACAAUAGGCAAAUCCGUUGUAUAAUCCGAAGACGUGAUGUGGAGCGAAAUAAAGUAGUGAAGCGUGUGAGCCAUGUGCCGAGAAAAGCUGCUAUUGUGUAAUGCGUGCCCGUACCGUAAACCGACACAGGUGGAUGAGGAGAGAAUCCUAAGGCCGACGGAAGAAGCAUUGUUAAGGAAUUCGGCAAAAUGACCCCGUAACUUCGGGAGAAGGGGUGCCUGCGAGAGCAGGCCGCAGAGAAUAGGCUCAAGCAACUGUUUAGCAAAAACACAGGUCUAUGCGAAACCGAAAGGUGAAGUAUAUGGGCUGACGCCUGCCCGGUGCUGGAAGGUUAAGAGGAGAGGUUAGCGCAAGCGAAGCUUUGAAUUUAAGCCCCAGUAAACGGCGGCCGUAACUAUAACGGUCCUAAGGUAGCGAAAUUCCUUGUCGGGUAAGUUCCGACCCGCACGAAAGGCGUAAUGAUUUGAGCGCUGUCUCGACAAUGCAUCCGGUGAAAUUGAAGUACCAGUGAAGAUGCUGGUUACCCGCGCCAGGACGGAAAGACCCCAUGGAGCUUUACUC